rnacentral:tRNA from 1 species
AAGAUACAAAAUUAAGCUUCUAACUUAAAAAAUAACAUAGUUAAUAUCUUU